CUUCAGGGGAAUGUUGUCCGGUUCGACACCAUUCUUAUGAACUAAAAGAUAUCAUAGAAUGAUUUCGGACCAGGCUUCAUUCCCCUUAAC